GUACCUACGGGAGGCAGCAGUGGGGGAUAUUGCACAAUGGGGGGAACCCUGAUGCAGCGACGCCGCGUGGGUGAAGAAGCGCCUCGGCGCGUAAAGCCCUGUCGGCAGGGAAGAAAAUGACGGUACCUGAAGAAGAAGCCCCGGCUAACUACGUGCCAGCAGCCGCGGUAAUACGUAGGUGGCAAGCGUUAUCCGGAUUUAUUGGGUGUAAAGGGCGUGUAGGCGGGAAGGCAAGUCAGAUGUGAAAACUAUGGGCUCAACCC
rnacentral:rRNA from 1 species